CCGACUUUGCUUUCAACUGAUUGGUUACAAGGCAGUAACCAAUCAGAGACUUGAGGUCAUACCUGUUGCAUUUGAAUCUGAACUGAAUGCUAAGGAUCAAUUGCAAACUCACUGAACAGUUAUGUCCAUUGUGGCCCCUCCCCCUUAUAGUCGUUGACUAACUCAGAGUUAGAGAGCUGAAAAGCAGGAAGUAGUGUUCUGGUUAUUAUGUUACACAUCCAGUCACUCCAGCCUUUAUACAUUACAUUUUUGCCUAACUAACUAUAUUAGAAAUAUUUUUUAUUUUGCACAGCCUAUCUAUUUACCCAGUUUUUAUUUUCACACUGAACUGUUCCUUUAAUCCCUUGAUUGAUUUGUUGCCUUGGGUAUAUGUAUGUAUGAAUGUAUAUUUUUCUUUAUAUAGUGCUUCCUGUGUACCAGCACUGUGUAUCCAUUUCAACUGACGGAUAACUUGUAUCAUCGCUUUUCUUCCUAAUACCAACAACCUUUUAACACUUUUGACUCAUUCCCUUUACUGUACUAUACGUGCUCAACGGCCUUUAUGAAUUUAACAUAUAGUGCAGUUCAUGUGUAUUGUCAUUCAAAGGAAAUUUGAAACAACCGCGCCACCUGCAAAUUAUUUCGGACGAACGAAGACAGUGGGUAGAAAGUCAAGUGAAACUGGACUAGUUGCCGACAUUCCAAACUGCUGGAGAGCUGCUGAUUAAAAAUCGACAUAGUUCAAAAACCACAAAGAAAGACCAACUGCAAAUUGCCUCAGUGUAUUCAUUCCUACCAACGUUUUCCACAGUUGGGCAAAAUAAGAAAAAGGUGGUGCUGUUUUUAACUGUAUUAUAUUUGUGUUGUAAAAACUGUGAAUAUCUUAAAAACUAAAAAAAAAAACUUUACUGCUUCUCUUUGAACCUAUUCAACAUAACUGGCAGUGCCCCCAGCCAUUUCUGUGCGGUGGUUCCAAAGAAAAGCAGGAGUUGGAGAUGCUCCUUGUUACAGUAGUCUCUGGGGUAGAUUUAUCAAAGAUUAAAGUU